rnacentral:misc_RNA from 1 species
AUGAGAACUUGCCCUUCGGGGUAGAUCUCCCACCCUUUGUAUACUUACUUUGUUGCUUUGGCAUACCUGCUUUCGGGCUACAGGCUUCGGCUUGUUCGUGUAUGCCGAAGAUACCAAAACUCUGUUUAAAAUGUCGUCUGAGUACUAUAUAAUAGUUA